CCCGAGUCCUAUCCCUAGUCUUUUGCACCAUCCGUUGAGGUGAAGACUAUACGGCUGCGUCCGAAACCGCCUACUUCUCUACUAUUUAGUAGCUGAAAAGCAGUAGGCGAGCGAAUAAGUAUGUCCAAAGCAAAAGAGCAGGCGAAAAUUACCUGGGUCGCGAGAUUCGGCCGUGCGCCUACUUAAAGUGCGCCCGACUCCGAAACCGCCUACUUAUAUAAUAGGGGAAAAGCAGUAGGCGAGCGAAUAAGUAUGUCAGAAACCUCAGCAAUCAUAGUUGAGUAGUUGAGAAGUUCCCGGAUGAUCUACUGCUUCCGGCGUGAUUCUGAAGUGCUCCUCGCUGGAUACAUUUCUAUCCCAGGAGGCCACGGGAGAGGAUACGUCAUAAUCGAACACGGAGGAGAAAAGCGACGCGGAUGCUGUCAAAUGUGAGUACUGAAAACUAAAAACACGGUUCCUUUUGUUAAAGUCACAUUUGUUGAACUACUGUAGAGGAAACUACUGAAUGUGUAAAGAUGCUGGACACUAUAGUUGUGAAUUUACUGUAAAAACACGUUUUAUUGUGUAUAGAUAACGGGGAGCUCUAGUAAACACAUAUAACUUAAUUCUCCUCCGAAGGAUACAUCUUAAAGAUGCUUACUAAAUGUUUAUUUAACCUUUGACAGGAAAAUAUUUUUUAAGUAUUAUGAUUUAUGAGUGACGGAUUAUGUUCUAUGUGUGAUGUGUGUGUGUGCUAUUAUGUAAAAUUCACUGUUGUCAACACUGCAUUACAUUAAUGAAAAUAAUGUAAAUAAACAAAUGUACACUUAACUAGACAGACAUAAGUUAUCUAUUUUAUUUGUCUUGGUACUGUUAAUAAAACAAGGAACAUUUGUGUUGGAUAAAAAGUGAGUUAAAACAAAUCUUGAACUACCUCAACGUUUAAAUGUAGUGCUGAGCACAUAAAUCUCAGAGGAUCUUGUCUGAUGUUACAGGGACAGAUGAUCACGUGUGUUUAUCCGGUGAUGAAGGAAUCAUGCCAUCAAAGGCUUUGAAGCUUUUGUGGUGGAGCAGGACCUACAAGGAAAGGUGAUGGUGGCAUUUGUGAACAAAAAAGAAAAGAAAAGGAAAACCUGAAACAAAAAUAUAAAGAUGUGAAAUGUCCUCAGACUGGUGUGAGCACUGAGGACGGAGAGCCACAGCAUAUCCUGGGAAUGGCUCAGUGCCAUGGAUGAGACCCUCCAUCACUCCUCCUGCUCUUACUGCCUCAUCUGGACUGAUGUUGAUGUGAUUUCUUCAUCCUCAGAAUGAUCCCGCUGGAGCAACCUGGAGUAAAGUGUCUUGAUCAAGGACACACUGGUGGAGAUGCUGUGGAGAUCGAACCAGCAACCUUCUGCUUACCAGCUCAGUGGUUUAGCCCCCUACACCACAAAAGUAAUGAAGCUACAACAGAAAUUAUCAUGUAAUUGUGUAAAAAUAUGAAAUGAAAUAUGGCAAGAAACUGAAUGCUGACAUGAAUGAAUUGUAAAAUGUUUUAAUCUGUUUAUUUAAUCAUGCUGAUGGAGAGCACAUGAAUGUUUGCAGCAGCCAGAUUGUCCUGCACAUCUUGUUUCACUUUUGCUUCAAGGUUGUGUGGUUCAGAAGACCAUCAUCAUGGUCUUCCUUAUCCUCUGGAUCAACAUUGUCCCCAUUGAGCAGAGCAGCAGUGAGGGACAUGAUGGAUGAAGGUGUUCAUCAGCUGUUUGAUCAAAAUAAAGCUGCAGAAUUGGCACAGCUGUGUGAGAUGGCAGCAGGACUGUAAAUACGUGAUUGUUAGAUCAAUACAUUUGAAUAAAGCUUUGUGUUGUUGACUUGUAUAUGCAUUUAUUUGUCAUUAUUACUUUUAUUAAUUUAUUAUGCUAUUAUCAGUAAAUUUAUAUAUUUUAUUUUCAUUCAGUAUCAAUUUUAAACUAUCGGUUGAUUAAUUGGUUCAACCUAGUUAUCAUUAUCGGUUGACCUCUAUUAUUGACAGAUUUUUUUUAAGUAAAUAAAAACAGAUAUACACAGAUGUGAUAUACUGUCUAUCUUUU